rnacentral:rRNA from 1 species
ACAGUGUCUGGUGGGUAGUUUGACUGGGGCGGUCUCCUCCUAAAGAGUAACGGAGGAGCACGAAGGUUGGCUAAUCCUGGUCGGACAUCAGGAGGUUAGUGCAAUGGCAUAAGCCAGCUUGACUGCGAGCGUGACGGCGCGAGCAGGUGCGAAAGCAGGUCAUAGUGAUCCGGUGGUUCUGAAUGGAAGGGCCAUCGCUCAACGGAUAAAAGGUACUCCGGGGAUAACAGGCUGAUACCGCCCAAGAGUUCAUAUCGACGGCGGUGUUUGGCACCUCGAUGUCGGCUCAUCACAUCCUGGGGCUGAAGUAGGUCCCAAGGGUAUGGCUGUUCGCCAUUUAAAGUGGUACGCGAGCUGGGUUUAGAACGUCGUGAGACAGUUCGGUCCCUAUCUGCCGUGGGCGCUGGAGAACUGAGGGGGGCUGCUCCUAGUACGAGAGGACCGGAGU